rnacentral:rRNA from 1 species
GGAGGAUCCGAGCGUUAUCCGGAUUUAUUGGGUUUAAAGGGAGCGUAGGUGGAUUGUUAAGUCAGUUGUGAAAGUUUGCGGCUCAACCGUAAAAUUGCAGUUGAAACUGGCAGUCUUGAGUACAGUAGAGGUGGGCGGAAUUCGUGGUGUAGCGGUGAAAUGCUUAGAUAUCACGAAGAACUCCGAUUGCGAAGGCAGCUCACUAGACUGUCACUGACACUGAUGCUCGAAAGUGUGGGUAUCAAACAGGAUUAGAUACCCUGGUAGUCCACACAGUAAACGAUGAAUACUCGCUGUUUGCGAUAUACAGUAAGCGGCCAAGCGAAAGCAUUAAGUAUUCCACCUGGGGAGUACGCCGGCAACGGUG